AAGGGCCCCUGCACACACUGCCCCCUGCGCUAUGGCCGCCUCCAGCCCACCCAAGAUGGCCAGGUUAGAAGGAAUCCCUCACCCCAAGUGUCCAAGACAGGCUGACAGAGUCUUUAGGAACGGCUCAAACCAUCAGCAAACGCUGCCCUGCUCUGCGGGCUCAGGGCAGCAGGAGCCCCCGCAGCUGGGAAGUGCACAGGGCCUUCCACAGAAGCUGGCACUGCCUCCUUGAGACAUGUCCCAGCUGGUGGCCAUCCUAAACCCGCAGGUGUGGCACGCACAAGGAAUGUGUGGGUCAGGGCACGAAUGCUGCUCUGACCCCUGGGGCCCGGGGAGCGCUGACACCAGCAGGAGAAUCAGGACCAUGAAGAGGAAAAAUCACAAAUAUUCUUUCUGCCCUCCGUAACCAAAGCUGUGCCAAACCA